UUUUAAAAGAUACAAUUUAUUUUCUGACAUAACAGAUACCAAGAGAAAAGAAACUGACUGGAAAAUGGUGAACACUCAAGAAAUGUUGAAAGAAUGAAUGGAAGAUCGAAAGACCUCUGCUUCAGGUCGAGGAAUCUACUAUGGAUCUUACCUCUAUAAAGAAACAUGAAACAUCGGCGUGAUUCUUCUACUUACCAUCAUAUCAACAGCAUUUGUUGGAUCAUCACCAUUAUGAAUACCUUUACCCUCCACUCACGAGAGAUCAGCAACCCGCCAUCUGAAGACACAACAUCCUUCAGAGCAAGCCCAUAAUUUGUGGAUGAACCUUCUUUCCUACGACUGGCUAUUGGUUGCUACUUCAGGCCCAUUCGUUCCUAUUUCAGCUCAACCAUACUUUUUGUAGAGGCAUUUGUGAUGGUAACAAUGCUGUUUGGCCUCAUAUCGCGGCAUCUCCAGUGAUCGUUAUGGCAUUAGGUAGUUUUUAAUUUGGGGGUGGUUUAUCAGCAGGGCGGGAGCCUGGGGGACACCAUUAAAAGUGCAGACUUACAUAACAAGGCCAACAACAUUUUAAACGGACAUCAACUGAGAACUAUUUUCAGACACACGUUUAUUUCCAUCAUGGUGCAGAUAUAUGAAUGAUGAUUAAACAUUGAAUUAAUUAAAAGCAAGAUAGAUAUAUAUAUUGUUUAGAUAUUAAGAUAUAUAAUAAAUAUCAAUUAAUUUACACAUAUAAUCAAUGAUCAAUAGACAUAUUAUUAUAUUAAUAAACCUUACUAGACAUGAUUUUAUAUUCCCCCCCCGCAAUAUAUCACUUUCGAUUAGACAAU
rnacentral:lncRNA from 1 species